AAUUCAAAUUUAUCAAAUCUAAAUUUGAAGCGGAGGAACCAAAAUAUGGGGCUAAUCUUAAUGAGAGACACCUUCCAGUCUUAGCCCGUCAGCUAACUCCGUCGGCAAUGGAAGGAACC
rnacentral:sRNA from 2 species